GACAGUUUGGCCGAGUGGUCUAAGGCGCUGGCUUUAGGCGUCAAUCCGAAAGAGCGUGGGUUCGAACCCCACAGCUGUCA
rnacentral:tRNA from 1 species